rnacentral:rRNA from 1 species
GGUUAAGCGACCAAGCGUACACGGUGGAUGCCCUGGCAGUCAGAGGCGAUGAAGGACGUGCUAAUCUGCGAUAAGCGCCGGUAAGGUGAUAUGAACCGUUAUAACCGGCGAUGUCCGAAUGGGGAAACCCGGUGCACUUCGGUGCAUCAUCAUUACGUGAAUACAUAGCGUAAUGAAGCGAACCGGGGGAACUGAAACAUCUAAGUACCCCGAGGAAAAGAAAUCAACCGAGAUUCCCCCAGUAGCGGCGAGCGAACGGGGAGGAGCCCAGAGCCUGAAUCAGCAGGUGUGUUAGUGGAACGGUCUGGAAAGGCCGGCGAUACAGGGUGACAGCCCCGUACACAAAAGCACAUUUGUUGUGAGCUCGAUGAGUAGGGCGGGACACGUGGUAUCCUGUCUGAAUAUGGGGGGACCAUCCUCCAAGGCUAAAUACUCCUGACUGACCGAUAGUGAACCAGUACCGUGAGGGAAAGGCGAAAAGAACCCCGGCGAGGGGAGUGAAACAGAACCUGAAACCGUGUACGUACAAGCAGUGGGAGCACAGGUUUACCUGUGUGACUGCGUACCUUUUGUAUAAUGGGUCAGCGACUUAUAUUCUGUAGCAAGGUUAACCGAAUAGGGGAGCCGAAGGGAAACCGAGUCUUAACCGGGCGUUAAGUUGCAGGGUAUAGACCCGAAACCCGGUGAUCUAGCCAUGGGCAGGUUGAAGGUUGGGUAACACUAACUGGAGGACCGAACCGACUAAUGUUGAAAAAUUAGCGGAUGACCUGUGGCUGGGGGUGAAAGGCCAAUCAAACCGGGAGAUAGCUGGUUCUCCCCGAAAGCUAUUUAGGUAGCGCCUCGUGAAUUCAUCUCCGGGGGUAGAGCACUGUUUCGGCUAGGGGGCCAUCCCGGCUUACCAACCCGAUGCAAACUGCGAAUACCGGAGAAUGUUAUCACGGGAGACACACGGCGGGUGCUAACGUCCGUCGUGAAGAGGGAAACAACCCAGACCGCCAGCUAAGGUCCCAAAGUCAUGGUUAAGUGGGAAACGAUGUGGGAAGGCCCAGACAGCCAGGAUGUUGGCUUAGAAGCAGCCAUCAUUUAAAGAAAGCGUAAUAGCUCACUGGUCGAGUCGGCCUGCGCGGAAGAUGUAACGGGGCUAAACCAUGCACCGAAGCUGCGGCAGCGACGCUUAGGCGUUGUUGGGUAGGGGAGCGUUCUGUAAGCCGUUGAAGGUGGCCUGUGAGGGUUGCUGGAGGUAUCAGAAGUGCGAAUGCUGACAUAAGUAACGAUAAAGCGGGUGAAAAGCCCGCUCGCCGGAAGACCAAGGGUUCCUGUCCAACGUUAAUCGGGGCAGGGUGAGUCGACCCCUAAGGCGAGGCCGAAAGGCGUAGUCGAUGGGAAACAGGUUAAUAUUCCUGUACUUGGUGUUACUGCGAAGGGGGGACGGAGAAGGCUAUGUUGGCCGGGCGACGGUUGUCCCGGUUUAAGCGUGUAGGCUGACUUUCCAGGCAAAUCCGGAGAGUCAAGGCUGAGGCGUGACGACGAGGCACUACGGUGCUGAAGCAACAAAUGCCCUGCUUCCAGGAAAAGCCUCUAAGCAUCAGGUAACAUCAAAUCGUACCCCAAACCGACACAGGUGGUCAGGUAGAGAAUACCAAGGCGCUUGAGAGAACUCGGGUGAAGGAACUAGGCAAAAUGGUGCCGUAACUUCGGGAGAAGGCACGCUGACACGUAGGUGAAGUGAUUUACUCAUGGAGCUGAAGUCAGUCGAAGAUACCAGCUGGCUGCAACUGUUUAUUAAAAACACAGCACUGUGCAAACACGAAAGUGGACGUAUACGGUGUGACGCCUGCCCGGUGCCGGAAGGUUAAUUGAUGGGGUCAGCGCAAGCGAAGCUCCUGAUCGAAGCCCCGGUAAACGGCGGCCGUAACUAUAACGGUCCUAAGGUAGCGAAAUUCCUUGUCGGGUAAGUUCCGACCUGCACGAAUGGCGUAAUGAUGGCCAGGCUGUCUCCACCCGAGACUCAGUGAAAUUGAACUCGCUGUGAAGAUGCAGUGUACCCGCGGCAAGACGGAAAGACCCCGUGAACCUUUACUAUAGCUUGACACUGAACAUUGAGCCUUGAUGUGUAGGAUAGGUGGGAGGCUUUGAAGCGUGGACGCCAGUCUGCGUGGAGCCGACCUUGAAAUACCACCCUUUAAUGUUUGAUGUUCUAACGUGGACCCGUAAUCCGGGUUGCGGACAGUGUCUGGUGGGUAGUUUGACUGGGGCGGUCUCCUCCUAAAGAGUAACGGAGGAGCACGAAGGUUGGCUAAUCCUGGUCGGACAUCAGGAGGUUAGUGCAAUGGCAUAAGCCAGCUUGACUGCGAGCGUGACGGCGCGAGCAGGUGCGAAAGCAGGUCAUAGUGAUCCGGUGGUUCUGAAUGGAAGGGCCAUCGCUCAACGGAUAAAAGGUACUCCGGGGAUAACAGGCUGAUACCGCCCAAGAGUUCAUAUCGACGGCGGUGUUUGGCACCUCGAUGUCGGCUCAUCACAUCCUGGGGCUGAAGUAGGUCCCAAGGGUAUGGCUGUUCGCCAUUUAAAGUGGUACGCGAGCUGGGUUUAGAACGUCGUGAGACAGUUCGGUCCCUAUCUGCCGUGGGCGCUGGAGAAUUGAGGGGGGCUGCUCCUAGUACGAGAGGACCGGAGUGGACGCAUCACUGGUGUUCGGGUUGUCAUGCCAAUGGCACUGCCCGGUAGCUAAAUGCGGAAGAGAUAAGUGCUGAAAGCAUCUAAGCACGAAACUUGCCCCGAGAUGAGUUCUCCCUGAGACUUAAAGUCUCCUGAAGGAACGUUAAAGACGAUGACGUUGAUAGGCCGGGUGUGUAAGCGCAGCGAUGCGUUGAGCUAACCGGUACUAAUGAACCGUGAGGCUUAACCUU